AAGUCGUAACAAGGUUUCCGUAGGUGAACCUGCGGAAGGAUCAUUAACACGUAUCCAUUGUGGACCCCCAUUCCGUUAGAACGCGGCAAUCCCUGGUAAAUCAUCGCCGAACAGUUUUGAUUCAGGGACCUCUGCAUGGUUUGGGCAGCUCCGCGAGGCAAGUGGCCUGGCAUUCGUAAGAAUGGCGCAGUCACGAUCGCUAGAGGCCGACACGGCCGGCGACCGGGUCACUGGGCUCUGCCCCCCUAUCACCUUUGCAUGAAACCGGGCCUGCGCUUAAUUGUGCGGCCACCAAACUUCGAACAACUGUUAACAAUGGAUAUCUUGGUUCUC
rnacentral:misc_RNA from 1 species